GACGAAUUUAAGUCUCAAUUAGAACUAAUUGUAUAAAACCAAAAAAUCCAAAAUGUAGGAUAGACAACCUGUGUAAAUGAACAUGACUAAAAUAUAAACCAUUUAAGAGUUUAAUUACAAAAAACUACAGGAUGUGAUCAUGAUGGAAUCAGAAAAGAUGACAGUAAGAAUUGAUAGUAAGAUAUCUCAAAUUGGAAUGUGCUAUAUCUGAUAUUUCCAAUAAGUUAAAAAACCGAAAUUACAUCAAAGUUACUGUGCAGUCAAACAUUACAUAUUACAUAUCUUCGUCCAUGAAGAAAAUCUUUUCACUAAACUUCUGCACCAAAAUCAAGCAUUGCCGUUUAUUAGGACUCCAUCCCUUAUUCCAACGUCAUCAGCCACAUCACCUUCUACCAUUGCUGAAUCAACAAGAGACUGAAGUUCCUGCUCACAACUCUUAAGUCUUUCAGAGUUUUCUUUAACUUGCAGAAAACAUUUAUGCAGCUUGGUCAAUUGCAUCUUAUUGUGUGAAGUGCGCUUCUUUGCAGCAAUCAAUGCAUCCUCCAGUUUCUGUAUUCACCAUUAAAAUUCUAAGUGGGGAUGAAAAGCAAGGCUUGUUUAUAAAACUCGUUUGGAAUAGCAACAAGCACAAAAUGGAACAGUGUGGACGGAAAAAAAAUUGUUAUGUAAUUAGAAAACACAUACCUGAGUUCUUUUACGCAAAUUUGAAACAAGUUGCUGCUUGUCUUCUAACCUCUCUUCUAUCUCAGAAAUCUGAUUAGGCACUAAAAUUUAGCCUUUCCUUUUUUUAACAAUUGUUUCUUUUUAACAAAAUGCCACAAUGUGCAGAGAUAUCACAGAUAAAUGAUUAUGAUGGUCCCUAAGAAAGGUUGCAAAAUCAACCUUUGCAAACUUGGAAGUAUACCAUGAAUCCAAAGGAAAACUCUUCCCUACACCCAAGUGUAUAACUUGAUUUAUACACCCAACCAAUAGGUAAUCAACAUACCAUGAUUUUAGAUUAUGUGUUAUUUGUAGAUUGAAUGGUUGUAUACGCCCAGGUGUAAGCAAGAACAACUCGACCCCAAAUGUAUGUAGUAUGGAUAGGACAUGUGUAUGUAUGUUUGUCAAAAUUUUUGGCUCCUUUUUAAGUUCAUCGCGCCUCUGAAUUGAUCUCUCCAAUCUUUCUUUUACCUCAUCAUUGUAUUCAUCACUUGAAUCUGAAGACAUUUCCCCACUACGUUGAUCAUUAUAUCUAGAAUCAUUCUGUUUCCCCAAUUCUAGAUCUUUAUCCUUGUCAGCAAGUUCAUGAUCACCGUUGGUUCCAUCCAUCUCCUUGUCUCGAUCCCAAUGCAAAUCACGGCCUCUUUCCCGAUUCCAAUUGCUGUUCCUUCCUUCUUCUUGUUCAUUACCAACAGGAUCUUUCUCUCGGCUAUGAUCUCCAUCCAAGAAACCAUCCCUUGCCUGACCACGAUCGUGUGCAAGCUCACAUCGCCUUUCCUCAUCUUCAUCACGGUCCCAAGACCUGGCACGCUCUCUGGACCUAUCACUAUGUCGUUCCCUAUACCUGUCCCUAUCACGAUCAUAAUCCCUUUCUCGAUCUCUGCCCCUAUCCCACUCCACACCCCUCUCCAUAUUAUGUCGAAAUCGAUCUCGACCAAAAUUUGAUCUCCCCCCUCUAGUAGUCACUCCAUUUACUCUUACAACACGCCCAUCGAUUGUCUUGCCAUUCAUGUCAUUGAUUGCAUCAAUUACUGAUCUUGGAUUUCUAAAAGUAACAAAUCCAUAGCAUUUUCCUCUUGUUCCAUGGUCAUUAAUAAUCUUAACGGCGACGAUGGCGCCGUAGGGACCGAAUACUCUCCGAACAGUGUCUUCGGUAGCAUUGUAAGGAAGCCCACCAACGUAUAUAGAGUUAUCGUCGUCUACCGUCAUUUCCUCAGUUACUUUAAUCUGAAUUCUAAUCUAUCUGUUCGCCCGAAAUUGCAUAUUGGGGCGUUGGUCGUCCUUUUGGCCCUGCGAUCUAC
rnacentral:misc_RNA from 1 species